rnacentral:tRNA from 1 species
GCCCGGGUGGCGGAACUGGUAGACGCGCCAGACUCAAAAUCUGGUGAGGGCAACCUCGUGUGGGUUCGAGUCCCACCCCGGGCACCA